AUUGAACGCUGGCGGCAGGCCUAACACAUGCAAGUCGAACGAGUGGCGGACGGGUGAGUAAUGUCUGGGAAACUGCCUGAUGGAGGGGGAUAACUACUGGAAACGGUAGCUAAUACCGCAUACCAUCAGAUGUGCCCAGAUGGGAUUAGCUAGUGGGUGGGGUAACGGCUCACCAAGGCGACGAUCCCUAGCUGGUCUGAGAGGAUGAACCGCCACACUUGAGCUGAGACACGGUGCAGACCCCGACGGGAGGCGGCAGUGGGGAUUAUUGCACAAUGGGCGCAAGCCUGAUGCAUCCAUGCCGUGUGUAUGAAGAAGGCCUUCGGGGUGUAAAGUACUUUCAGCUGGGAGGCGUUACCCGCAGAAGAAGCACCGGCUAACUCCGUGCCAGCCGCCGCGGUAAUUC
rnacentral:rRNA from 1 species